AACCUAGAGACUCUUCACCCCGCUCAACCUUACCGUAUCAUAUUCCUCGUAUUAAAACACUUUCCCGCUCCCAUCAUGACCCUUUCUCGGUCGCGCGAGAAACCUUUGAAUAGACGUACCCUACUCGAAACUAGCGUCGCAACCACAAACCAACAGGUUUUGUGUUUGAAGAAGCCAAAGGUGUUUGAUUGAAUUCCGCAAUGGAAAAUUCAUCUCGUGUGACCGAAAAGAUGCGUGAACUUGAGCUAGAGGAAAAAUUUCUAGAUUUUCCACCGCAUAAUCCACAUACGGAAGAAGACUCUGUUAGGCAUGUAUAUAUUGAUUUUCCACCACAUGAUCCACAUAUGGAAGAAGACUCUGAUAGUGAAGAGGAAGUUUGGAUUUCAAAGUCCCGCAAGAGAAGAGGUUUAAGUAAUAUGUAUGAGGCGGGAGAGGAAGAGGAAGAUUUUUCUCCUCAGGAACUUGGUCCAUGCACUCUGUCUGUGGGGAAUUACAAGAAUGGCAAAACGCUGAGUUGUUUUUAGUUAGGGCUUCUCAGAAAUAAUGAGCUAUGCAUAAGCACUUUAUUCAUGCACGCCGAUCCCAAUAAAAAGUUUUUCACGUACAGUGAUAUGGACUAUAUCUUUCUGAGAUGGCCAUUCCCGGGGGUAAGUAUAAAGAAGAAGCUAGAAACCAUACAACCGUUUGGGGUUCCUGGAGGAAAGAUCAUCAGUGGGGUUACAAGUGCUGCCAGCAGGUUACAAGGAACAGUUAUUGCACGAGAACUGCUGGUGUUAAGGCCAAUGCUGCAAGUCAUAAAAAAAGAAGAAGAAAGAAACCUGAAGCUAAUAGGUUUGAGGAUGUCGAAGAUUUCAUAGCCCGUUAUUGUGGAUAGUAGAUGCUCGAAAAGCUGACUUCCACCAGCUGAGAUCAUAGAAUAUGGGUAGAAAUAUCCUCUUUCCCUCCGUGUCUCUCUUCUGCAGCUUGAUGCCAAGUUUUGGUUAGACUGGCUCUUUGUAAUGUUUCUAGAUUCUCCACUUGUUUGGACAAGAGAUUUUGUGUCUGUAUUUUGUUUGAUGUUUUUCAUAUAUACUAAUAUAUCCCAUGUGCUUCAUAUUUUUCAGAGGUGCAUUCAUGAAGAAGUUCAAGACCACAGCCUCUAACUCCGCAUUACUGUAAUUGGGAUUAUUAGGAAAGUAGAAUCAUUCUUGUUCAAACGUGUCUUUGUAAAUGUCAGGUUUUAUCCUUUGGUCAGGCAUUAGAGCGUUACGUUGCUUUAACAUCAAUGUUCUGAGUUUGUGCCUAAUGGGUCUUAGGGGUCUGAUCGUCUUCCAUACUCUCCUGAGCAUUGUACAAUACUACAAUUUAUAGAAUUUUUUCUUUCUUUAAAAGGCAGCAUGCUCCUCCAAGAUAAACCUAGUUUGAAUAUUGAAACUCCAAGGCAAAUAUGUCAGAACCCAUAACAUGUUGAGAAGUAUUAACUGUCUUUAAACUGAACAAAAUUUAAUAUGAGACCUUCUUUAC